rnacentral:sRNA from 1 species
CUCACUGUUGUUGCUGGCAGAAUACGUACACCAAUGCGGACAAGCUCCUAGAAGCAGCAGAGCAGUUGGCUCAGACGGGGGAAUGUGACCCCGAGGAGAUCUACAAGGCAGCUCGACACCUGGAGGUGCGCAUCCAAGACUUCGUGCGCAGGGUGGAGCAGCGGAAGCUUCUCCUGGACAUGUCUGUUUCCUUCCACACACACACCAAAGAGUUGUGGACAUGGAUGGAAGACCUUCAGAAGGAGAUGUUGGAGGAUGUCUGUGCAGAUUCUGUGGAUGCAGUCCAGGAACUGAUCAAGCAGUUCCAGCAGCAGCAGACCGCCACUCUAGAUGCCACACUCAAUGUCAUCAAGGAAGGCGAAGACCUUAUCCAGCAGCUCAGGGACUCGGCUGUGUCCAACAACAAAACACCCCACAGCAGCUCCAUCAGCCACAUCGAGUCGGUCCUGCAGCAGCUUGAUGAUGCCCAGGUGCAGAUGGAGGAGCUGUUCCACGAGCGGAAGAUCAAGCUGGACAUCUUCCUGCAACUGCGCAUCUUUGAGCAGUACACCAUCGAGGUGACAGCAGAGCUAGACGCCUGGAAUGAAGACUUGCUUCGGCAGAUGAAUGACUUCAACACAGAGGACCUAACCCUGGCAGAACAGCGGCUGCAGCGCCACACAGAACGGAAGCUAGCCAUGAACAACAUGACCUUUGAGGUUAUCCAGCAGGGACAGGAUCUGCACCAGUACAUCAUGGAGGUCCAGGCAUCAGGAAUUGAGUUGAUCUGUGAAAAAGACAUUGAUCUGGCAGCCCAGGUGCAAGAGUUAUUGGAAUUUCUCCAUGAGAAGCAGCAUGAAUUGGAGCUCAAUGCGGAGCAGACUCAUAAGCGGCUAGAGCAGUGCCUCCAAUUACGUCACCUCCAGGCUGAAGUCAAACAGGUUCUGGGAUGGAUCCGCAAUGGAGAGUCAAUGCUCAACGCCAGCCUGGUCAAUGCCAGCUCUUUGUCGGAAGCAGAGCAGCUGCAGCGGGAGCACGAGCAGUUCCAACUGGCCAUCGAGUCCCUCUUUCAUGCCACUUCCUUGCAGAAGACGCACCAGAGUGCCCUGCAGGUACAGCAGAAGGCCGAGGUGCUGCUCCAGGCCGGCCACUACGAUGCCGAUGCCAUCCGGGAAUGUGCUGAGAAGGUGGCCCUCCACUGGCAGCAGCUCAUGCUGAAGAUGGAAGACCGAUUAAAAUUGGUCAAUGCCUCUGUGGCCUUUUACAAAACUUCUGAACAGGUGUGUAGUGUCCUGGAGAGCUUAGAGCAAGAAUACCGGAGAGAUGAGGACUGGUGUGGUGGACGAGAUAAGCUGGGGCCAGCGGCAGAGAUCGACCAUGUCAUUCCCCUCAUCAGCAAACAUUUGGAACAAAAGGAGGCCUUUCUUAAGGCCUGCACCCUGGCUCGGCGGAAUGCUGAGGUGUUUCUCAAGUACAUCCACAGGAACAACGUCAGCAUGCCCAGUGUCGCCAGCCACACUCGGGGACCCGAGCAACAAGUGAAAGCCAUCCUGAGUGAGCUCCUGCAGAGGGAGAAUCGUGUGCUGCAUUUCUGGACCUUGAAGAAGCGGCGGUUAGACCAAUGCCAGCAAUAUGUGGUGUUCGAGCGCAGCGCUAAGCAGGCGCUUGACUGGAUCCAAGAAACAGGUGAAUUUUACCUCUCAACACAUACCUCCACUGGAGAGACCACAGAGGAGACUCAGGAACUGCUGAAAGAAUAUGGGGAAUUCAGGGUGCCUGCCAAGCAAACAAAGGAGAAGGUGAAGCUUCUGAUUCAGCUGGCCGAUAGCUUUGUGGAAAAAGGCCACAUUCAUGCCACGGAGAUAAGGAAAUGGGUGACCACGGUGGACAAGCACUACAGAGAUUUCUCCCUGAGGAUGGGAAAGUACCGAUACUCACUGGAGAAAGCCCUAGGAGUCAACACAGAGGAUAAUAAGGACCUGGAGCUGGAUAUUAUCCCAGCAAGCCUUUCGGAUCGGGAGGUCAAGCUGCGGGACGCCAACCACGAAGUCAAUGAAGAGAAGCGGAAGUCAGCCCGGAAGAAAGAAUUUAUUAUGGCUGAACUACUCCAGACAGAGAAGGCUUAUGUAAGGGAUUUGCAUGAGUGCUUAGAGACCUACCUGUGGGAAAUGACCAGUGGUGUGGAGGAGAUCCCCCCUGGGAUCCUCAAUAAAGAGCAUAUCAUCUUUGGCAACAUCCAAGAGAUCUACGAUUUCCAUAACAACAUCUUCCUCAAAGAGCUGGAGAAGUAUGAGCAACUGCCUGAGGAUGUGGGACACUGCUUUGUUACCUGGGCAGACAAAUUUCAGAUGUAUGUCACCUACUGUAAAAACAAGCCUGAUUCCAACCAGCUUAUCCUGGAGCAUGCGGGCACCUUCUUUGAUGAGAUACAACAGCGGCAUGGUCUGGCCAACUCCAUCUCUUCCUACCUAAUUAAGCCUGUCCAAAGGAUCACCAAAUAUCAACUGCUCCUGAAGGAACUUUUAACUUGCUGUGAAGAAGGGAAAGGGGAGCUCAAGGAUGGCCUGGAGGUGAUGCUCAGUGUCCCAAAGAAAGCCAAUGAUGCCAUGCAUGUCAGCAUGCUGGAAGGUAGCUGUCCUCCCAGCACUGGGGAAGCCUCCUCUCUUCCUUGACACGGGGGAGCUUGUAUCAUGGGAGGGAAGUGGCAUGAAGUUAGACAAGGUGCAAGGCUGGAAGAGAGAAGAAAUGACAAAUAGUUACAUAGGCCCUUGUCAUGUGAGAGGGGCUCCACAAGGACCAAUUUGGCUAGCACCCUGCUUCUAGGAAGGACCAGGCCUAAGCCACUGGAGGUUAUGUGGACAUGUUGCUGCCCAUGAGACAGUCCAGGACAGGCCAUCACCCUCACUGUUGGUGUGCUAGAGCUUCCAACCUACAGCAGUCUUGUUAGUCUGCAUAGCAUCUGCAUUACAUUGCCUUGGUCAUCACAAUGAAUAGAAAGCCUGAUCACAUAAACACACACAGACACACAUACACACAAAACAUACCAUCUUCAGCCUUAUGCUCUUUUUUUGUUAUUAUGGUAAAAUAUACAUAAUAUGUAUAACAUAAAUUUACCAUUUUAACCAUUUUUGAAUGUACAGUUCGGUGGCAUUAAAUACAUUCACAUUCUUGUGCAACC